ensembl:lncRNA
CAGAAUCGGCUUGCUACAUGCAUUUUGAAAUAUUUGCACAAUGAUUCGCGUGUGUCAUCAAAGGACAGCAGUGUUGUAAAUAGUAGCUUGGCAGGGGACUUGACAGCAAAACCAUUAACUGUGAGUCUCAUUUUCUGUCCCAUUUUGUCCUGCAGAGUUUCAGCACAUUAAGGAUGGCCGUGCAGCACUUGCAAGGAUGGACAGGGGAGUAUCUAUGCCUAAUAUGUUGGAACCGAAAGUGUAUCCCUAUGAAAUGCUCAUGAUAACCAGUAGAGGGAGAGCUAAACUGCCCAGGGAUGUGGACAGAACCAGACUGGAGCGCCACUUAGCACCUGAAACGUUCUUUGACAUCUUUGGAAUGGAGAUCCAGGAGUUUGACAGGCUUCCCCUGUGGAAACGCAACGACAUGAAAAAGAAGGCCAAGCUCUUCUAGCACUCAGAGCCGCAUGCAUUUUCUGUACAUUCAGAUAGCACACAGCAGCUGUAAUCUAGAUGUAGGUUUUGGUUUAUUUCCUUUUCUUCUAUAUAUAUUUUUUGUUCUUUUCUUUUUUUUAAAUUUGAUUGUUUUAACCUGACAUAAUCACGGAAGCCAUGAACUGGACUCUUUGCUCUGAUGCUUCCUGAGACUAUGUACUGAAAGACUUGUCCUGUUAGACUUGCACUGUCAACGAUGAGCGGGAAUCUCUUCCGUGUUCAAAAAUGACAAAGAAUGAGACUGGACGAUGAACAGGGUCAUGUUCUUUGGUUUGAAUGCGCUUGUUUUACUUCUUGCUUUGCUUCGAGUGGAACCGCUUUUCUUUUCUUUCUUGCUCGUUUCUUCCUACUAUUUCUCUCGCUGUUGAUUCCUGUGGAACUUUGUAAGUACAGUAGAACCUCAUGGCGCUCAUUACAAAAUGUCCAUGCUCGUAGCUUGAACAUGUGUCAGCUUACCCUCGCUUGGGCUGAAAAGGUUUUAGUCCAAAGUUUGCAAGAAUUGGCUCAGUGAGUCUUUGAAUUAAAAAGAAAAAGUCACCGGGAAAGCAGUUAGCUUACCCAACAGCUGUUGCAUCAUCCAAGCACCCGCAUAUCACUAGUUUCCUUCCCAUGGCUACGCACUGAACAUCCGUUUGACCCUGACAAAAAAUGUCUCUCUUCUCAGGCUCUCAUAAACACGGCCAGACACUCUCCCUUUACAUGGAUUGGAAGUACAAAUCGUAUUAUAUUUUAAUGCCAUAUCAAAAGCAAAGUGACAAAUAGCUAAAACCCCUAAUGUGUUUGAAAAUACUGUUUUAUAUAAAAAAAGAAAAGAAGAAAAAACCCCACACUGCCAUUUGUUGUAUUGAAUUCUAAGCCAAUAAAGCUUUAAAUCACCAUGAAACAUAAUGAUCCUCUGCUAAACCAAAGGUACCCACCGCCUCUUUUCUGUUUGUUUUUCUUUGUUUGCAUUUCACCAAUAAACACACGAGCUCAGUGAUGUAA